GAAGAAGCGGGGAUAAAGCUAUAAGACGAGAAGACCCUAUGGAGCUUAAAACUACACAGCACUUAUCAAANAAUUUUUAAUGUUUCUGUANACACUNAAUUCUUUAAAGUAAAAUGACUGCAAGUUUUCGGUUGGGGUGACCACGGAGUAUAUCAUAACCUCCAUGUUGAAAGAAUUUCUUUCUAAGCCAAGAAUAACCAAUCUAAGCAUUAACAAAUUAACAUCUAUUGACCCAAUAAAUUUGAUCAACGAACCAAGUUACCCUAGGGAUAACAGCGCAAUCCACUUCAAGAGCUCCUAUCGACAAGUGGGUUUACGACCUCGAUGUUGGAUCAGGGUAUCCCAGUGGUGCAGCCGCUACUAAAGGUUCGUUUGUUCAACGAUUAAAACCCUACGUGAUCUGAGUU
rnacentral:rRNA from 1 species